UUCGCGCCAUUGUCGUUCUUGUCGUCUCGAUUAUUUUGGCGGAAAUGUUAGUCUUUCAUGGUGCCUCGUGUGUGAUAAUACUCGUUUGCUAUUCUUUUCUCGUGAAAAAUUCAAGUAAGGCCAUGUCACCAAGUUGCAACAAAAAUCUUCAAGGUUUCCUUUGCUGAUAUUUUUUUAAAAAAGAUGGAGAAUAAAUAGGACUUGCUGCCCAGACUACUACACAUUGUGGAACUGCAAGUUCAUCUGUUUCGUCUAGUGUUAUGAUGGAAAUGUUCGACCGACCUUGGCGAAUUCUGGUGAAACGACAUUGGCGAUCCCUAACAUUAAAAUUCGCAGACUGAAAGCAAAGUUGGCACGCCAUUUGCAAAGCUGAACGAUUUCUUCUAUUGUCGUGGAUGCCAGUAGAUAAUCUUGGCGUAUCGAUCAAGGGAAUAUAUAUUUGUUGCUUCUCAUUCGCUGUGCAGAGCAAAUUGCCAAAAAUACGUUUCUGUGGUUUAUGGGUUUAUGGCUCUCCUUGGCAACAUUUGCAGUGCAGUGGACUCGAGCAUUUCCUAUACACCCGUCUUGUUUUUAUAUGCUGGCUGGUGCUGUUUCAUUGGGUCCACCCACAAUCAUUGCAGCUGCAGAUAUCGCCUCGUACUUAUUCCAUCCAUCCAAGUAAUUCCAAGUUUUCCCUGAAUCUUGUGUGGUUGCUUAAUUCUUAUAUUGAUGGCUAGAUGGCGAUGCCGCUUGCUUCCUCUGUUUACCGAUUAAGCUGGUUUUUUAAAAUCGUUUAACUCGAGGCGCACAUUUGGGUUGGAAAACAUCACGAGUGAAUUUUCAUUAUUAUCCCUGUAUAACGAAGGAAUUAUGGUGUCAAUCUCCCAGUUUGUGGAUGGAUGUAGGAGAAUUUGUCCGCAGGGAUUCCAUCCAGUCACGGAGAAAAUUGAGACACUUUUUCAGGGUCUCUUCCCCUCCGCAGUAUGGGUGCCAUUUGCCUUCCCAAAGCGAAUCCGCUUCAUUGAUUGACACCGCCUUUAUCACCCUGGAGAGGGCAGUUGAUGACGAUGAUCCUUUCGCUGACUUUCACUCUGGCACUGGCUGAAAUUCGGAUCGUCACUUCAAAGAGACUGGAAUUUCCUCCUACAAAGUAGUUACGAGGUGGUGGCCGAAUGUCUAUGUGGUGUGCGCUGCAUGAAUGCACGAAUCCCUGGUGAACUCUGCGUCCAGUAGCUCCAGCUGGACCUCGUCGUAAAAGUGACGCUGGUGAUCUGUUCCGGAAGAAGACUUCGUAGUGGAACCAACUGGAGAAUAAUCUGACAAUCAUCAAUAAAAAUGAGCUACCCUACAAAACGGAGUUAUUUUCAUAUUUUAAAAAUUUUAUAAUACAAAAAUGAUAACAGUUGACCCACGAC